rnacentral:rRNA from 1 species
UACGUAGGGGCAAGCGUUGUCCGGAUUUAUUGGGCGUAAAGAGCGUGUAGGCGGCCAGGUAGGUCCGCUGUGAAACUCGAGGCUCAACCUCGAGAGGUCGGUGGAAACCGUUUGGCUAGAGUCCGGAAGAGGAGAGUGGAAUUCCCGGUGUAGCGGUGAAAUGCGCAGAUAUCGGGAAGAACACCCGUGGCGAAGGCGGCUCUCGUGGGACGGUACUGACGCUGAGACGGCGAAAGCGUGGGAGCGAACGAGG